rnacentral:rRNA from 1 species
AGGCGCGAAAACUCUACAAUGCAGGCAACUGCGAUAGGGGAACAUCGAGUGGCGUCCAUAUUGGAUGUCUGUCCUCCCGCCUAAAAAGCGGGAGUUAGCAAGGGCCGGGCAAGACCGGUGCCAGCCGCCGCGGUAAUACCGGCGGCUCGAGUGGUGGCCGAUAUUAUUGAGUCUAAAGGGUCCGUAGCCGGCUUUGCAAGUCUCUCGGGAAAUCCAGCGGCUUAACCGUUGGUCGUCCGGGGGGUACUACAUUGCUUGGGACUGGGAGAGGUAGGAGGUACUCAGGGGGUAGGAGUGAAAUCCUGUAAUCCUUUGGGGACCACCGGUGGCGAAGGCGUCCUACCAGAACAGGUCCGACGGUGAGGGACGAAAGCUAGGGGCACGAACCGGAUUAGAUACCCGGGUAGUCCUAGCCGUAAACGAUGCUCGCUAGGUGUCACAACAGUCGUGAACUGUUGUGGUGCCGUAGGGAAGCCGUGAAGCGAGCCACUUGGGAAGUACGACCGCAAGGUUGAAACUUAAAGGAAUUGGCGGGGGAGCAC